rnacentral:rRNA from 1 species
GAGUUUGAUCGUGGCUCAGAUUGAACGCCGGCGGCAGGCCUAACACAUGCAAGUCGGGCGGUAGAGAGAGGCUUGCUUCUCUUGAGAGCGGCGGACGGUGAGUAAUGCCUAGGAAUCUGCCUGGUAGUGGGGGAUAACGCUCGGAAACGGACGCUAAUACCGCAUACGUCCUACGGGAGAAAGCAGGGGACCUUCGGGCCUUGCGCUAUCAGAUGAGCCUAGGUCGGAUUAGCUAGUUGGUGAGGUAAUGGCUCACCAAGGCGACGAUCCGUAACUGGUCUGAGAGGAUGAUCAGUCACACUGGAACUGAGACACGGUCCAGACUCCUACGGGAGGCAGCAGUGGGGAAUAUUGGACAAUGGGCGAAAGCCUGAUCCAGCCAUGCCGCGUGUGUGAAGAAGGUCUUCGGAUUGUAAAGCACUUUAAGUUGGGAGGAAGGGCAGUAAAUUAAUACUUUGCUGUUUUGACGUUACCGACAGAAUAAGCACCGGCUAACUCUGUGCCAGCAGCCGCC